UGCAGUCGAGCGAACAGAUGAGAAGCUUGCUUCUCUGAUGUUAGCGGCGGACGGGUGAGUAACACGUGGGUAACCUACCUAUAAGACUGGGAUAACUCCGGGAAACCGGGGCUAAUACCGGAUAAUAUUUUGAACCGCAUGGUUCAAUAGUGAAAGACGGUUUCGGCUGUCACUUAUAGAUGGACCCGCGCCGUAUUAGCUAGUUGGUAAGGUAACGGCUUACCAAGGCGACGAUACGUAGCCGACCUGAGAGGGUGAUCGGCCACACUGGAACUGAGACACGGUCCAGACUCCUACGGGAGGCAGCAGUAGGGAAUCUUCCGCAAUGGGCGAAAGCCUGACGGAGCAACGCCGCGUGAGUGAUGAAGGUCUUCGGAUCGUAAAACUCUGUUGUUAGGGAAGAACAAAUUUGUUAGUAACUGAACAAGUCUUGACGGUACCUAACCAGAAAGCCACGGCUAACUACGUGCCAGCAGCCGCGGUAAUACGUAGGUGGCAAGCGUUAUCCGGAAUUAUUGGGCGUAAAGCGCGCGUAGGCGGUUUCUUAAGUCUGAUGUGAAAGCCCACGGCUCAACCGUGGAGGGUCAUUGGAAACUGGGAAACUUGAGUGCAGAAGAGGAGAGUGGAAUUCCAUGUGUAGCGGUGAAAUGCGCAGAGAUAUGGAGGAACACCAGUGGCGAAGGCGGCUCUCUGGUCUGUAACUGACGCUGAUGUGCGAAAGCGUGGGGAUCAAACAGGAUUAGAUACCCUGGUAGUCCACGCCGUAAACGAUGAGUGCUAAGUGUUAGGGGGUUUCCGCCCCUUAGUGCUGCAGCUAACGCAUUAAGCACUCCGCCUGGGGAGUACGACCGCAAGGUUGAAACUCAAAGGAAUUGACGGGGACCCGCACAAGCGGUGGAGCAUGUGGUUUAAUUCGAAGCAACGCGAAGAACCUUACCAAAUCUUGACAUCCUUUGACCGCUCUAGAGAUAGAGUCUUCCCCUUCGGGGGACAAAGUGACAGGUGGUGCAUGGUUGUCGUCAGCUCGUGUCGUGAGAUGUUGGGUUAAGUCCCGCAACGAGCGCAACCCUUAAGCUUAGUUGCCAUCAUUAAGUUGGGCACUCUAGGUUGACUGCCGGUGACAAACCGGAGGAAGGUGGGGAUGACGUCAAAUCAUCAUGCCCCUUAUGAUUUGGGCUACACACGUGCUACAAUGGAUAAUACAAAGGGCAGCGAAUCCGCGAGGCCAAGCAAAUCCCAUAAAAUUAUUCUCAGUUCGGAUUGUAGUCUGCAACUCGACUACAUGAAGCUGGAAUCGCUAGUAAUCGUAGAUCAGCAUGCUACGGUGAAUACGUUCCCGGGUCUUGUACACACCGCCCGUCACACCACGAGAGUUUGUAACACCCGAAGCCGGUGGAGUAAC
rnacentral:rRNA from 1 species